UUGUUAAGGUAGCAUAGUAAUUAGUUUUUUUAUUGAAAAAUAGAAUGAAAGAGUAUAUUAAAUUUUUAUUUUCUUUUUUUAAAAAUUAGAAUUUUUAUUUUAAGUGAAAAUACUUAAAAUUAUUUAUUAGACAAAAAGACCCUAUGAAGCUAGAAAUAUGAAAUUAUUAAUAUAACAAAAAAAAUAUUUAUUAUUUGGGGAAAAUAAUAAUAAUUUUAUUAAGAAAUUAUUUUUUUAAAAGAUCCUAUUUUAGGAAUAAUGAAAUAGCUCCUCUAGGGAUAACAGCAUAAUAUUUAUAAAAGUUCUUAUUAAAAUAAAUGUUUGUGACCUCAAUGUGAAU
rnacentral:rRNA from 1 species